GUCCCAGAAACUCCUCGAAAUUCACGUUGCCGUGUCGUGUAUCCAUCCGGGAAGAGCUCUCCAGGCUCCAGCCGGCUCCAGUACGGCAGCGUUCCCCACCAUCCCCAUUCGUUAAUCCCAUCGCUUUCCCCGAUCCCUCACGAGUCUCCCUCCUCCCUUCUCCCUCUCCCAUCCCCCCUUCGGAUCCACCCCCCACAGCCUGUGCCCCCUCGCCGCCGGCGACCAUGUCCAAGUACGGCACAAUCCCCACCUCCUCCUCCGCCGCGGCCGCGGGGGCGCCCCAAUUCGGGGGCGCCUCGCCGCUCGACUUCAUCUCCCGCGCCAAGGCCCGCGGCGCGACGGCGCUGGCCACGCGCCGGCCGUGGCGCGAGCUCGCGGACCUCCACGCCGUCGGGCUGCCCCCCAGCCUCGGCGACGCCUACCUCCGCGUGCGCGCCAACCUCGCCCACUUCGCCAUGAACUACGCCAUCGUCAUCCUCGUCGUCGUCUUCCUCUCCCUCCUCUGGAAGCCCGUCUCCCUCAUCGUCUUCCUCGUCUGCAUGAUCGCCUGGCUCGUCCUCUACUUCCUCCGCGACGAGCCGAUUGUGCUCUUCGGCCGCGUCGUCGGCGACGGCGUCGUCCUCGCCGGGCUCGCCGUCGUCACGCUCGGCCUGCUGCUGCUCACCGGCGCCACCGCCAACAUCCUCUCGUCGCUUCUCAUCGGCUUCGUGCUCGUCGUGUUGCACGCCGCUCUGCACAAGGCGGAGGACAACGUCGACGAGGAGGUCGGCCGCUGGUACGCGCCUGUGCCGCCGCCGCCGUCGCACUAGUGUGAGAUCGCUUGCGCUCCAACCCAUGGUUCGUGGUCCAAUCAUAUUAUUGUUCAGCACCGUGUAAAAAUUGAUGUUCUUCUUACUGCUGGAUGCUGUAUAAUCUGUUUUUGUUAUGCUACUGUUAGUCUGUUACUCGAAUCUUGAACAUCAAUGCAAGUUUUAUGGCACUACUUUGUGAUGGGUGAUUUUUUAUCCAUGAAGCUUCUCGUCCAUUUCUCGAAUUUACCUAUAUGGUUGAUAUCUCAGAGCAGCUAAUUGUGCAAUUGCAUCUCAGAUUGUCACAAUCAUGCUACUUGUUUAGUUAGUUAGUUUAGAGUUGCAUGAUCAAACAGAUCCCUUUUGCUCCACGGAUAAUUGAGAUAGCACCUUUCUAAAGUGAGAUUGAGACAUCUUGCAUUUUCAGAUGACUCGUCUUAAACUGCACUGCACCUGAUUCGUUGCUAACUUGUAACAAAGAAGAAAAGAAACCUCUAACUGUGGUUGGUAAAAAGACAUCAUCUAGAUGCGUCUGCAGAUGUUUUCAUAAUUGCAUAUAGGUUAAGUAGAUGAAGUUUAAUUGACAUCAUGCAGAUUUUGUGGUACCUCUAGCAGUUGUUAUUAUCAGGUUGUCCAAAGCACUAUAAAACAACAUGCAAUCAAAAGAGUUAUAGCAAUCAUACCAUCUCUUUACAGCCUGUGACCCUAGUGUAUUUCCCAUUCCUGUUAAUAGUUGCCAAUUGGGUAUCUAUGUGCUUGUUCUUACAUGGAGGGCAGAAUUAUUGUGAGUGCCAGCCAAAAGGAGAUGGAUGUUAUGCAACAAGUUCGGACAUAGUCUGAGAGACAGCCCUGGCCCAAAUAAGAGUCAGUUUUGGAAGUUGUGGGAAUCAAUUCCUUCCCCACCUCACUUGACACUGGAGAGGACAUGAGUGUGGUUCGUGUGGCGAUUUUGUUUGUCCUGUCUUCUUUUCCAAGUAUUCCUGGAGUGUAAGUUGAGCAUUGGUAGGGCUGGUUCUGGCCCAAUCGCAACGAAGAACUUGUAGCUGGUGGUUCAUAUUCUGCAAGACAGCUGAUUCAUCUGAAGGUUUUGACCCAGUGGUGAUGGAAGGUUGUAAACUCUGAUUGUCGCGAACAGUUCAAAGCUUGUUCCCUUUUACACUUAAGGCGGCUGGGAAAAUGUGGGUGACUGGUAAUCAUUCCGUUCAUCUUACACACGCCAUUUUGUUUCUAAGGGACUCUGUUUCGUGCUAGCCGCUCAGUUAAAACAUGGCAAAUCGGAAUGUCGAUUUGUGUUCCUUCGUUUUACAAUAUACAAGUCCUACUAUCUCUCUGUAAUCUUGUUUAUGAGGCAUGAUCUUGUUUCUUGGAUAGACAAUCCCAUAUUCUGUACAUGCUUCGACAUUUUGUGGGUAAGCAUGCGUGCUCCGGCACUCGUAUGUCGUUGAAAUAGAGAACAGUCCUUUGUAAUCUUGUUUAUGAGGCAUGAUGUUGUUUCUUGGAAAAAAAAAUUAACCUUUUCUUGUA